rnacentral:rRNA from 1 species
UACGGAGGGUGCAAGCGUUAUCCGGAUUCACUGGGUUUAAAGGGUGCGUAGGUGGGCAAGUAAGUCAGUGGUGAAAUCUCCGGGCUUAACCCGGAAACUGCCAUUGAUACUAUUUGUCUUGAAUACUGUGGAGGUCAGCGGAAUAUGUCAUGUAGCGGUGAAAUGCUUAGAUAUGACAUAGAACACCCAUUGCGAAGGCAGCUUACUACGCAUAUAUUGACGCUGAUGCACGAAAGCGUGGGGAUCAAACAGG